rnacentral:pre_miRNA from 1 species
AGUGCAAUUGCUGGAUCAUAUGGUAAGAGUAUGUUUACUUUUAUAAGAAAAUGCCAAACUGUCUUCCAAAGUGGCUGCGCCAUUUUGCGUUUCCACCAGCAAU